AAGUAAUCGCAAAUUCAAACUCCAGUCUCAACCAAAUACUUCGCGAGAUCUAAAACGAUUGUCUUAAAUCAGAAUCUAAUGUUACAUCAUGAUUAGUAACCCCUGACCUAAUGAAAAACCUAUUAGAUACAAAGUAAGAGAAAAUGUAGUACACAGAAAAAUAAGUCUCCCUUUUUAAAACGAAUAUCAUAUCAAUACAUAAAAAUUAUCGAGGCAAGGAAAAAGAGGUUGCCCAACUUGAUAAAAUCACUGUACACCGUUAGUAUACACUCAUCCAGCUCAUCAUACUAAGACACUAUGACACACGCUGACACACGCCACACAGAUAGACUCAUCUUUAUCACAUUCAUAAGAGACGUGUAUUGCAAGGCCAAAGAGUAUGAGCAGAAACACGCGCCAGAAAAGACAUAAAACUGUUGUUGAACUCAUAUGCAAGAGAGCCACGGGUACCCCCUCCUUUCAUUAUUUGCAACCAUUGGCUAUGGGCAAAUGGGGCACAUGCGCGACCCAGAAACUCCAAAGCUCAUCCCUCAAGACGCAGAAAUCAUGCCAUAUUUUAGCGAACCAAUCAGAAGAAAAGAAGUAGAUGGGGGAAACCCUAUAAAACGGGGGGGCAAGUGCCCAAAAGGAGCAGAUCAAAAGAUCAGAUCAGUUGUCUCAAAAAGUCUUUGUUACCACGUCCACGAAUAAUUAAAGAAAAGGACUUAGUCAGAAUUUCCAUCAGCUCUUGUUCAAAAUCGAACUUAGAAAAUUUCAAGAAGUAAUCUCACUCAAUAUCUCAGACUCAAACUAAACCAAAGCGGAAUUCCAAUAAUAAUUGCAAUAAGAUAAAUAUAAUUAUAAAUAUUGUAAUCUAUCUCGGAGCGAGCACUUGUAACUGCUCGAAACCUACGACGACGCUUCAACCCGGACCAUUGUAAAGAAAAUAUAAGAGGGAACAACCAGUACCUUCCAAUAAAGAGUAACACCAAUUAACCAAGCAAGGCAAAAACCCUAAAAAAUGACUACGGGACAGCUAUACGCAGUUGAUGUAGGAUACUACAUAAUCAAUUCAAGGCAUGUUGUUCUGAAAGAAAUUGCAAUAAUGUCACUAACAGGGAAUCAUAUGGAUUGUUGGAUGUUACAACCACCUGAAGAGUAUCCACGAGCACCAGACGAAUUGCGGGAAUCUAACCACCCCCCAUGGGUUGGGUUGGCAGGAGGGAAGUCUCACCUAGCGCCAGGGAGUCAACCAAUUAAGGGUCUUAAGUAGGAGUGUCGGACGGAUGUAUACUUUUGGAAAAGAGCAGGGCACAUUCUUACAAGGGAUCGUGGAAUGCCCAUUGAUAGAUCUCAGCACAGGAUUCUCCGCGCUCACUCCAAGCGUCACACCUAAGUGUUUUUGCAUCCACCACGGAGUUUUCUUGAAGGAAAAUUUCUCUUGCGCGUUAAACAACGUUAUAAAAAUAAAGAAAUUUUUAUGCGAGCAGUGGCAAUCAGUCAUAGAGCAAAAGCA